GUGCCAGCCGCCGCGGUAAUACGUAGGCAGCAAGCGUUGUUCGGAGUUACUGGGCGUAAAGAGUGCGUAGGCGGUGCCCUAAGUCUGUUGUGAAAUCUCCCGGCUUAACUGGGAGGGUGCGGUGGAAACUGGGGUGCUUGAGUGUGGGAGAGGUAAGCGGAAUUCCUGGUGUAGCGGUGAAAUGCGUAGAUAUCAGGAGGAACACCGGUGGUGUAGACGGCUUACUGGACCACGACUGACGCUGAGGCACGAAAGCGUGGGUAGCAAACAGGAUUAGAAACCCCCGUAGUCC
rnacentral:rRNA from 1 species